rnacentral:piRNA from 1 species
CUUGGAAGUAGACCAAGGGUGUCCAAU